rnacentral:rRNA from 1 species
CUUUCAGCAGUGAGGAAGGUGGAGUAUGUUAAUAGCAUAUCAUUUGACGUUAGCUGCAGAAGAAGCACCGGCUAACUCCGUGCCAGCAGCCGACGGUAAUACGGAGGGUGCGAGCGUUAAUCGGAAUUACUGGGACGUAAAGCGCAUGCAGGUGGUUUGUUAAGUCAGAUGUAGAAACGGCCCGGGGCUACAACCUACGGAAUUGCUAUUUAGAAACUGGACAAACUAGAGUACUGUAGAGGGGGUAGAAUUUCAGGUGUAGCGGUGAAAUGCGUAGAGAUCUGAAGGAAUACCGGUGGCGAAGGCGGCCCCCUGGACAGAUACUGACACUCAGAUGCGAAAGCGUGGGGAGCAAACAGGAUUAGAUACCCUGGUAG